rnacentral:misc_RNA from 1 species
ACCAAAAGAAUAAAUAUCUGAUUUCUCAGAAACUUUUUGAAAAGGAGAAUGCUCUGGAUCUGCAUAAACGUUAGUUCCCUUCAUCAUACUACUACUGAUGUGAGUAAUAUCAUCAGAAAUCGGCAAAAAUAUGGCGAGUGAGAAAUCUGCUACCUUUGGCUGGAAUUCAUCAUCAACGAGUAUAUUCGCAGACUUGAUAUCUCGGUGUAUAAUUUUAGGAUCACAGCCUUCAUGUAGAUAUUGAAUCCCUUUAGCAGAGCCGAUUGCAAUUUUCAUUCUGUUGUCCCACGCCAAAAGCUCCUUUCCUUCAACAUAUCAUAAGAUCGUAAUACCAUAUUUACAGCUAUGCCCAGAUAGUGAUAUGUAUGAAUAUUUGAAGGCUUGAAAAGGGACUUACCAUGCAAAUGAAAAUUCAAGGACUUAUUGCGAACAUAUUCUAAAACAAGCAAUUUAUUAGCUUGUUCAUUGCAGUACCCUUCCAGCUUAACAAUAUGUGGAUGACUUACAUUUCUAAGGACCUCAAUCUCCUCCAAAUUUUUUUGGGGCUUUUCAUGCUGUUCCUGUGUUCUUUUAAGUUUUUUGAUAGCUACGACUUUACCAUCUAGCUUUCCCUUGUAGACUUGACCAAAAGAACCCUCGCCGAGUAGAAAGUUGUUGGAGAAAUGACCAGUAGCCGCUGCUAGUUGUUCAAAGUUAUAUUUCUUCAGCUCAUACGCUUGAUGGUUCUCAGAGGUAGAAGCAUGACCUUGAUUCUCCUGAUCAUGAACGACUGAGCUAGAUUCAAUCGGAUGUAUAACCGGUGAGACGUGAGGUGGUGGAGUUGGUUGGGGUGUAGGUAACAUAGAUCCACCGUCUUGAUUCUCUUGAUCCUGAACUGCAGAGCUAGAUUCAAUCUGAUCUAUAACUGGUGAGUGGUGAGGUGAUGACACUGGUUGGAGUGCUGGUAAUGUAGAUCCACCAUCUUGAUUCUCUUGAUGCUGAACUACAGAGCUAGAUUCAAUCUGA